UUAGUGUUUUUUUUUAUGAUUUUUUAUCUAAUUGGUGUGCUAUUAUGCUAAACAUGUGAUUAUCUCUCUCAAUUUUCAUAGUUUUUUUUUCUUUUCUCCCCUCCUGAAUUUUAAAAUCCACCCCUUAAUAUAUGCCUAAAAAUAGGGGUAGAUGAAUAGUUGAAUUCCAAAAAUGUCACCCCUAACUUACCCUAACAUGCCACCUAGUGUAGGGUUG
rnacentral:lncRNA from 1 species